UACGAAGGGGCUAGCGUUGCUCGGAAUCACUGGGCGUAAAGGGUGCGUAGGCGGGUCUUUAAGUCAGGGGUGAAAUCCUGGAGCUCAACUCCAGAACUGCCUUUGAUACUGAGGAUCUUGAGUACGGGAGAGGUGAGUGGAACUGCGAGUGUAGAGGUGAAAUUCGUAGAUAUUCGCAAAGAACACCAGUGGCGAAGGCGGCUCACUGGCCCGUAACUGACGCUGAGGCACGAAAGCG
rnacentral:rRNA from 1 species